rnacentral:rRNA from 1 species
UGGGGAAUCAUGGUCAAUGGGCGAAAGCCUGAACCUGCGACGCCGCGUGAGUGAUGAAGGUCGUAAGAUCGUAAAACUCUUUUCAGGGAUCUUAAAGCCUGUCUGUCAACAACAGGCAGGUCUGACUCUCCCUGGAAGAAGCCCCAGCCAACUACGUGCCAGCAGCUGCGGUAAUACGUAGGGGGCGAGCGUUAUUCGGAAUUACUGGGUGUAAAGGGUAUGUAGGCGGCCCUUCAAGUCGCGUGUCAAAGUCCAGUGCUCAACGCUGGGUGUGCGCGCGAGACUGACGGGUUUGAGGGCUGGAGAGGUGAGCGGAAUUCCCGGUGUAGUGGUAAAAUACGUAGAGAUCGGGAGGAACACCAGCGGCGCAGGCGGCUCACUAGACAGUUUCUGACGCUAAGAUACGAAAGCGUGGGGAGCAAACA